rnacentral:rRNA from 1 species
CGAACGAUGAACCACUUCGGUGGGGAUUAGUGGCGAACGGGUGAGUAACACGUGGGCAAUCUGCCCUGCACUCUGGGACAAGCCCUGGAAACGGGGUCUAAUACCGGAUACGAGUCUCGCGGGCAUCCGUGAGGCUGGAAAGCUCCGGCGGUGCAGGAUGAGCCCGCGGCCUAUCAGCUUGUUGGUGAGGUAACGGCUCACCAAGGCGACGACGGGUAGCCGGCCUGAGAGGGCGACCGGCCACACUGGGACUGAGACACGGCCCAGACUCCUACGGGAGGCAGCAGUGGGGAAUAUUGCACAAUGGGCGCAAGCCUGAUGCAGCGACGCCGCGUGAGGGAUGACGGCCUUCGGGUUGUAAACCUCUUUCAGCAGGGAAGAAGCGCAAGUGACGGUACCUGCAGAAGAAGCGCCGGCUAACUACGUGCCAGCAGCCGCGGUAAUACGUAGGGCGCGAGCGUUGUCCGGAAUUAUUGGGCGUAAAGAGCUCGUAGGCGGCUUGUCGCGUCGGUUGUGAAAGCCCGGGGCUUAACCCCGGGUCUGCAGUCGAUACGGGCAGGCUAGAGUUCGGUAGGGGAGAUCGGAAUUCCUGGUGUAGCGGUGAAAUGCGCAGAUAUCAGGAGGAACACCGGUGGCGAAGGCGGAUCUCUGGGCCGAUACUGACGCUGAGGAGCGAAAGCGUGGGGAGCGAACAGGAUUAGAUACCCUGGUAGUCCACGCCGUAAACGGUGGGCACUAGGUGUGGGCGACAUUCCACGUCGUCCGUGCCGCAGCUAACGCAUUAAGUGCCCCGCCUGGGG